CCCUGGGCCGGGUACGGUUCCCGCCGCCGCCAUCACUGCCGCCUCCCAGACUUCUCGCGAGAAUACUGUCUGCGUCUCGCGCGAGUUGCUCACUGGCUCUCUAACCUUCAAAUAGUAAAGACUCUCAUUCCAGCAAGGAACCAGAACCUGUGCCAUCAACAUCAGGCGUGAGUGAAAUGGCAGCUUGCCCUCUGUCUCCUAUUACUGAUGAUCCUUCAGCUCUACCAUCUCUCACCUCCACUCCCUCCUCCCGAACUAAGACCUCCCCCCACCCCACCACCCAGGUGGAGGAUGGUGACUGCUUGCUGAGACCCCAGACUGGUUGGAACCAGAAAGUUGAUGAUUGACAUUCCUGGAACACCACUGUUACCUCGCCACCACCCAAUCAGGAGAAAGUGACACACCCUGCAGCCAUCACCCCAGAUGUUGCCUUUAAAAACUCUUCCCUGAAAACCAUCUGGGAGUUUGGGUCUUCUGAACACAAGCUGCCCAUUCUCCUUGCUGGGCCCUGCAAUAAACCUUUCUCUGCUCCAAACGCUGAUGUUUUGGUUUGUAUGGCCUCACUGUGUGUCGGGUACAUGAACUUGGGUUCAACAACACUACUUCUGUCACCUUUUGAGCAGAGAAAAAAUGGUCCAGACCCUUAAGGAACUGAGGAUUUUCUUCUCAUUUAAAAAGAAAACAGAGAUACAUGUGAACUGAACUGGAUUCUAAUUCUGCAGAAACUGACCCAAAUCUGUGUCCAUUUUACAUCUCUCUGUCAGCACCCACACUCACCUCUUGCAUGAAUAUUUUCUUGCUGUUCCCUCAGAAAUGAAUGAAGCUUUCCAGAAAUUCCUACCACU